GCAAAGCACAUCCAAAAACAGAAGAGAGAACAGAAUAAAAGCAGUUGACCACGUACCCACACACCUUGGCAGAGGGGCACUCCACAUGCGGCGGCCACCUCCCAAGCACACAAUCUCCCUUGCCCCCUGCAGACGAUAGCCCGUGUUGCAAAAGAACGCCAGUGAGUCCCCAAUGCCAAAUUUGGAGCCGGUGUGCCAGCCGAACCGAGGCGUUCCAGGAUUCUGACAGGGUUCAAGAUCAUACUCUGGAAACAAGUCCUGAGGAAACUGACCCACAUGGCUCGCUUUGAUGAUCAUUCCCAUCACGGUCAGACGCCAUCUACCUGCGUGACCUCCUCGUCUCUUAAUUACCCUCCUCUGAACAGCACAGCCUGAGAUAGCUCCUCAUAUGCCGCCAUACCUGAGAAAGAGAUAUUGAAUCCCUGCAGCGAUAUGGAGAAGUCAGAAAUGAAGCGUAGCUGGGCCUUGAAGUUCCCGUACAGGCCGGCAUUGACUGGUGCAGGCCUCUCUGAGCCAGUGAGUCGAGCCAGCGGCUGGGCAAAGCUGCUGUUUUCUGUUAUCAGGAGGUAGUCAUGGUGAUCCUCCAGGUGGAAGUUGUGAAAAGUGAAUUGGACACCUUUGAGGAGAAAAAAAAGAAAAACUGACGUUAGAAGUUUCAGGGAAAAUACAAAGGUCACUGAUAGAAAUGUAGAAAUGCUUUCAUCUGAAUAUACAUGAUGCAUACAUCUGAUGUUUUCAUCUCCUUCCGGUAUCAUAAGGUCAAAAUAGACUGGCUGUUUAUAGUGUCAUACACUGGCUGGGAUUAAAAACA